CGCGCCUAACACAUGCAAGUCGAACGGGGAUCGUCCCUUCGGGGGCGGUCCUAGUGGCGAACGGGUGAGUAACGCGUGGGUACCUGCCCCGGGCACCGGGACAACCGCGGGAAACUGCGGCUAAUACCGGACGACGCCGUGACCUGAGAGGGUCAUGGCCAAAGCUCAGGCGGCCUGGGAUGGGCCCGCGUCCGAUUAGGUAGUUGGUGGGGUAGAGGCCUACCAAGCCUGUGAUCGGUAGCUGGUCUGAGAGGAUGGUCAGCCACACUGGGACUGCGACACGGCCCAGACUCCUACGGGAGGCAGCAGUGGGGAAUCUUGGACAAUGGGGGCAACCCUGAUCCAGCGACGCCGCGUGGGUGAUGAAGGCCUUCGGGUUGUAAAGCCCUUUCGCCGGGGACGAUGAUGACGGUACCCGGAGAAGAAGCACCGGCUAACUACGUGCCAGCAGCCGCCGUAAUAC
rnacentral:rRNA from 1 species